rnacentral:rRNA from 1 species
CGCGUAGGCGGCCAGCACAAGUCAGUUGUGAAAUCUCCGAGCUUAACUCGGAAAGGUCAACUGAUACUGUGCGGCUAGAGUGCAGAAGGGGCAACUGGAAUUCUUGGUGUAGCGGUGAAAUGCGUAGAUAUCAAGAGGAACACCUGCGGCGAAGGCGGGUUGCUGGGCUGACACUGACGCUGAGGCGCGAAAGCCAGGGGAGCGAACG